AUCCAGCUGACGAGUCCCAACUAAGACGAAAUGCCCAUCCUGGAC
rfam:Schistosoma margrebowiei strain Zambia genome assembly, scaffold: SMRZ_contig0001291